rnacentral:rRNA from 1 species
CCCUACGGGAGGCAGCAGUGGGGAAUUUUGGACAAUGGGGGAAACCCUGAUCCAGCGACGCCGCGUGAGUGAAGAAGUGUUUCGGCAUGUAAAGCUCUAUCAGCAGGGAAGAAAAUGACGGUACCUGACUAAGAAGCCCCGGCUAACUACGUGCCAGCAGCCGCGGUAAU